CCUACGGGAGGCAGCAGUAAGGAAUAUUGGUCAAUGGAGGAAACUCUGAACCAGCCAUGCCGCGUGCAGGAUGACUGCCCUAUGGGUUGUAAACUGCUUUUAUACGGGAAGAAACCCCGCUACGUGUAGCGGGUUGACGGUACUGUAAGAAUAAGGACCGGCUAACUUCGUGCCAGCAGCCGCGGUAAUACGAAGGGUCCAAGCGUUAUCCGGAUUUAUUGGGUUUAAAGGGUGCGUAGGCGGCUUUUUAAGUCAGUGGUGAAAGCCUGAUGCUCAACAUCAGAACUGCCAUUGAUACUGAAGAGCUUGAGUACAGUUGAGGUUGGCGGAAUGUGUCAUGUAGCGGUGAAAUGCUUAGAUAUGACACAGAACACCGAUUGCGAAGGCAGCUAGCUAAGCUGUAACUGACGCUGAUGCACGAAAGCGUGGGGAGCAAACAGGAUUAGAUACCCUGGUAGUCCACGCCCUAAACGUUGAUAACUCGCUGUUGGCGAUAUACUGCCAGCGGCCAAGCGAAAGCAUUAAGUUAUCCAACCUGGGAAGUUACGGUUGCAAGAUUGAAACUUCAAAGGAUUGACGG
rnacentral:rRNA from 1 species